UAUUUAGAUAAUAAAAUUGAGAAUGGAAAUGGGGAAUGUGUCAAAGAGACAACAACCCUACCAAAUAAAAAACAACAGCAGAAGGUCACCAACAGGUCUUCAAUGUAUCGAGAAAUUCCCGAACCCGGAGGCGUCCUUCAGCUGGCCCCUAAAAAAUAUAUACUAGUUCAGUGAUAAUGAACGCCAUACUAAUUUCCAAAUUGUACACAAGAAACUAAUAUAAAAAUAAUACAAGACUAACAAAGGCCAGAGGCUCCUGACUUGGGACAGGCGCAAAAAUGCGGCGGGGUUAAACAUGUUUGUGAGAUCUCAACCCUCCCCCUAUACCUCUAACCAAUGUAGAAAAAUAAACGCAUAACAAUACGCACAUUAAAAUUCAGUUCAAGAGAAGUCCGAGUCUGAUGUCAGAAGAUGUAACCAAGGAAAAUAAACAAAAUGACAAUAAUACAUAAAUAACAACAGACUACUAGCAGUUAACUGACAUGCCAGCUCCAGACCAAAUAAAAAACAACAGCAGAAGGUCACCAACAGGUCUUCAAUGUAGCGAGAAAUUCCCGCACCCGGAGGCGUCCUUCAGCUGGCCCCUAAACAAAUAUAUACUAGUUCAGUGAUAAUGAACGCCAUACUAAUUUCCAAAUUGUACACAAGAAACUAAUAUAAAAAUAAUACAAGACUAACAAAGGCCAGAGGCUCCUGACU
rnacentral:lncRNA from 1 species